rnacentral:rRNA from 1 species
CCUACGGGUGGCUGCAGUGAGGAAUAUUGGUCAAUGGUCGGGAGACUGAACCAGCCAAGCCGCGUGAGGGAUGAAGGUACAGAGUAUCGUAAACCUCUUUUGUCAGGGAACAAAGGCGGGGACGCGUCCCCGGAUGAGUGUACCUGAAGAAAAAGCAUCGGCUAACUCCGCGCCAGCAGCCGCCGUAAUACGGAGGAUGCGGGCGUUAUCCGGUUUUAUUGGGUUAAAGGGGUGCGGAGUCGGUCUGUUAAGUCGGCGGUCAAAGCCCGGGGCUCAACCCCGGCCCGCCGUUGAAACUGGCAGUCUCGAGUUGGAGAGAAGUAUGCGGAAUGCGCGGUGUAGCGGUGAAAUGCAUAGAUAUCGCGCAGAACUCCGAUUGCGAAGGCAGCAUGCCGGCUCCACACUGACGCUGAGGCACGAAAGCGUGGGUAUCGAACAGGAUUAGAUACCCCAGUAGUC